GCCAUUUUGCCAUUCAUUUUCAUUAUCACUUACGUAGUUUGUCGUUGUUUUUGUGGAUUUCGUGCUGUGUUGUAGUUUUAAAGGUGUUUCAAAGCUUUUUCGUUCAUGAGAUUAAGCAUUGUGGAAUAUAUGAACUAUUUGAAGGGUUCAACACACUCCAAAUGUGUGGUUGAAAGAGAAAAUGUCCUCAAUGCGGGGCAUCUAACUUUGCGAGGUAAAACCGAAGCCACCAGUGAGCUUGUAAGCAUUUAUGUUCUAUGUUUGCAAUUCAGUGCAAUUAAUUCGGAGCCUUAUGAAAUUAAGGGAAGAUUGACCAUUGAUGGAACUGUAAAAAACAAGGAAAUGCAUUGCUCAUGUAAAGCAGGUAACAGUGGCAAAUGCAAACAUAUUUCUGCUUUUCUUGUGAAAUGUAUCAGGAAAGCCAAUUUUAUCUUUACUUUUAAUUGAUAUUCAAGUACCUAUUUAUAUUCUGUUUAGAGAGGACAAUGAAAAUCUGGAACAAAUAUUGUCCAUAUAUCAAAUGUGUUUGGUCAACACAGAAGGUUGUGACAAAGGAACGCUAUAAGCCUGUUCCGAUUGAGGAGAUGCCUUGUUUCAUUGAUAAGGUGAAACAUAGUAACAUUGUUACAAAUGAUGAAAAAAUACGGUCAUUUUUUUGCCAAAACCUACCAAGCUCUACGAUCAGUGUACACAGGAAGGGUAGACGCAAUAUUAGCCGUAAUAUGCAGUUACCUGAUUAUCAAAUGUGACUACCAUCAAACCAUUUUGAACAACGCAUGUUAUUACGGCUACCUUGCAUGAUGUUUUUGGCCUCGAGCGAAAUUGGGGAACUUCAAUUAUGUGUGUGUGUGUUGUGCCAAUCUGUACAACUCAAUAUUAAAUGAUGAUAUUGAGGUGACUAUCAACAUUCCACAAAAGUCGGUACAAUGGAUGGAUGGUCGCAAAUGAGAUUGAGCUAACAAGGCAUUAAAACAUUUCUUCCCAACGAAAUUGAAUAAUAAAUUCGUGAGACGUGAAAUCCAAUGGGAAAAUGUUGCGAGGGAGGCAUUUGUCAACAUUACUGGAAUGGAGGUGGUAGACUGUGGGAUGAUUGUUUCCCAUGCUAACAAAUGGUUGGGAUAUUCUCCGGAUGGUGUUGUUAUCCAUGAUGGAACCCCAGUUUAUCUUUUGGAGAUAAAAUGUAUUUUUCAAGGUAAAACCAAAAUGAUUUUAGAAGAAAUUGAGAAGGUUCUAAAUUCUUAAGAAGAAUCAUAAAUAUUAUGGCCAACAGUACAGAGUACAGAUGCAUUUCAAGUCUCAAGGUAAAACGGAGCGUGUGGGUGAAAAUUUUUACCUUGAUGCACAGUUUAAAAGUCGCAAGAAUCCAGCCGACUUGCACGCAGAGCUUCAAAGAAGACGUGAAAAAUUGCAAAAACAGAACCUAACUUUGCAACCGUUGAUGGUAGUUACAGGUACAAAAGAAACUGGAUCUUCAUAUUCUUCUGCGAUAAAUGAUAUUCUGUAUCCCACGGAGACACCAGUAAAAACUCUUGACGUAACAUUUAAAGUUAUCUAUGCUUUAGAUGCAUCCUAUCAAUUAGAAUGUAGACAUGUGUGGUCGUGUAUUCAAAACCAGAUAUAGGAGACUGAACAAAUAACUGAAAAAACGACUAUUAGCGCCGAUAUUGUUACUUCAAAAAUUAAAAAUAAGAUUAAUAAUCUUUAGUUUAAUCCCUGUAACAGGAUACUUACCUUUAACGCUGAAAGCUGAUUAAAGCUGAUAAAGACACGUGUUCUAAAAUGGUCUACAUUGAUAAUGCAGUUUUACGAACCGAAAACAAUUACGAAAAUGAUUUAACGCUAAAUAAUGCCAGUUUGUCGGGUAUCAAAGAACCUUGCAUAUUUAAUAGUUAAUGAUUAUCAUCUUACCCAAAACUUUUACUGUGACAUUGUGCAUGACUUACUAGAGGGAGUUUGCAAGUAUACUGUGAGACUUGUCUUACAUGAACUACUCAUAGUAAAAAAAAACUCAUAACAUUUGAAAUGUUUGAUUCAA